AACGAACGCUGGCGGCGUGCCUAAUACAUGCAAGUCGAGCGAGAAAGUCUUCGGAUGAGUAAAGCGGCGGACGGGUGAGUAACACGUGGGUAAUCAACCUUCUAGUGGGGAAUAACGUUUCGAAAGGAGCGCUAAUACCGCAUGUGAAUACGAGUCGUUGGAUUUGUAUUCAAAGGGGGGUCGCAAGAUCUCUCGCCAGAAGACGAGCCUGCGUCCCAUUAGCUAGUUGGUGAGGUAAAGGCUCACCAAGGCAACGAUGGGUAGCUGGUCUGAGAGGACGACCAGCCACACUGGGACUGAGACACGGCCCAGACUCCUACGGGAGGCAGCAGUUGGGAAUCUUGGACAAUGGGGGAAACCCUGAUCCAGCCAUGCCGCGUGAGUGAUGAAGGCCUGGUU
rnacentral:rRNA from 1 species